rnacentral:rRNA from 1 species
GACGUAGGGAGCGAGCGUUGUCCGGAUUCAUUGGGCGUAAAGAGAGCGCAGGCGGUUUGGUAAGUCGGAUGUGAAAUCCCGGGGCUCAACCCCGGACCUGCAUCCGAUACUGCCCGACUAGAGGUAGGUAGGGGAGAUCGGAAUUCCUGGUGUAGCGGUGAAAUGCGCAGAUAUCGGGAGGAACACCGGUGGCGAAGGCGGAUCUCUGGGCCUUACCUGACGCUCAGGCGCGAAAGCUAGGGGAGCGAACAGG